UACAGAGGGUGCAAGCGUUGUUCGGAAUUACUGGGCGUAAAGCGUGCGUAGGUGGUGAGUUAAGUCUGUCGUGAAAGCCCCGGGCUCAACCUGGGAAUGGCGAUGGAUACUGGCUCGCUAGAGUGCGGUAGAGGAGAGUGGAAUUCCCGGUGUAGCAGUGAAAUGCGUAGAGAUCGGGAGGAACAUCAGUUGCGAAGGCGGCUCUCUGGACCAGCACUGACACUGAGGCACGAAAGCGUGGGGAGCAAACAGG
rnacentral:rRNA from 1 species